rnacentral:lncRNA from 1 species
UCUUGAUAAAAUUUUUCCAACUAAUUUGAAUCAUUUAAAUUUCUUUGAUAGUGUUGAUACAUUAACAGCCUGUCCUACUGUUCCCGAUGAUGAAGAGGGGGGAGUCAUGAAUCUCAUGAGGUUACUGGUGGUGAUCAGCAACCAAUCCCCUCUACAUCUGCCGUUCCAAGAAAUGUUAAUGUUGACCCUCAGCAUUCUACUCUUGGAACUGAAAGUAGUAGUAGUGAAGGAUCUG